UGCGAUAUUUUUAUCAAGAUCCCCACGGUUCUUUUCAAACCAUAUUCACUUCUACGGCUUCAUACGUCCCUAAUCUAUCCAUUUAUUCAAAAGCCUAAUCAUCUUUGCAAGAUCUUAUAAUCUUCUCCAUCGCGUCCAAGAAGCCAUUUCAGAAACCACGUUUUCUUCCUUCUCUCAUGGAAGAAAUCUGACACGUGUCUGUCUUUGUUAACCACGCGAUAUUUUUAUCAGGAUCCCCACGGUUCUUUUCAAACCCUAUUCACUUCUACGGCUUCAUACGUCCCUAAUCUAUCCAUUUAUUCAAAAGCUUAAUCAUCUUCGCAAGAUCUUAUAAUCUUCUCCAUCGCCGUCCAAGAAGCCAUUUCAGAAACCACGUUUUCUUCCUUCUCUCAUGGAAGAAGGACAUCCAACCAUUGUUGCUCACCGCGAUACUGGUAUGUGGUAUUUGAACUUUACUCUGCUUAGGGUUUUGAGAAAGAACUGAACUUCUGUUUCAUCAAGCAACCUUGUGGCCAGACUCCAUUCAUAUUUCAAUGGCUUAAAAUCUCACUGAACUAUGUAUGCUACAUUACACGACUCAAAAGCAGGUUACAAUGCUUGACAAAAUCAAAGCUGCAGAUGUUGGGCUGGAGCCGGAAGCACAAACAGUACGUAACUGGACAGGUCCCGUAAGCGAACUCAACGGGACAAUGGGCCCAAUCAAUCUUUGCCGCCGAAUAAAUAUAUCCAUAUUCAUGAGUCCGACAGCUUCACAAUGGGGAUAUUUUGCAUGCCACCGUCUUCCAUCAUUCCCCUUCAUAAUCAUCCCGGAAUGACUGUUUUUAGCAAGCUUUUGUAUGGAUCAAUGGAUGUAAAAGCAUAUGAUUGGCUUGAUGAACCCUAACCGUCUGAUACGCCACAAUGUAUCAUCUUUCUUGACUAUGACUUAUGACAAGUGGUGGAUGAGGUUGCAAAUAUAUGGGGAUAUUUUGCAUGCCACCGUCUUUCAUCAUUCCCCUUCAUAAUUAUCCCAGAAUGACCAUUUUUAGCAAGCUUCUGUAUGGAUCAAUGGAUGUAAAAGCAUAUGAUUGGCUUGAUGAACUCUCACCGUCUGAUACGUCACAAGUUUCGGCACCAAUCUGCAACUUUGUCCACCGGCCGGAACGCAAGAAGAAGAGACAGUAGACGAUCAAAGAUAUUGUCAUUUGGAAUUGAGUGGCUGAAAGCUUAUAAUAUUUCGUGUUUUAAAUAUGAUUAAAAAUGGGAACUUUGUCUAGAAACGUAAUCAAAGACCCAAAUCUGAAAAUAUGAGGUAUGAGUAUACUUGGCAAAACAGGCGUGUCGGCGGUGUAAUGGAUCAAAUUGGGUCGUUUUAAAAAUUGGUCAUAAUCAUUCGAGUUAAAAUGAAUAACAGAUUUUUUUAAUAAUAGGAAUUCCCCCCUUAAAAAUGUGUAUUAUUAACCUAAAGUAAUUAUUAAUUUACUUUCUACAGCAACUUUAAAUCACUAAUAUUUUUUUAAAAAGACAAACAUGGACAAGAUAGUGUGUGGGUCAACCCUACUUGGGCCGUCCUGUUUUAUGACCCGUUACCCAACCUGGCCGACCUACCCGUAUUGUUGCCUUUAACAAAAACCUUGCUUGUAAUGGAUGAAGAGCCUAAUUACCAAGGCAAAAGCAACUUUUUUGAAAAUAAGUUUCCGGAAGUAAUCUUAGAAACGUUGACUAUA
rnacentral:lncRNA from 1 species